rnacentral:rRNA from 1 species
GACGAACGCUGGCGGCGUGCCUAACACAUGCAAGUCGAGCGGGGAAUGCAGCAAUGUAUUCCUAGCGGCGGACAGGUGAGUAACGCGUGGGCAACCCUGCCCUGCACAGGGGGAUAACACAGGGAAACUUGUGCUAAUACCGCAUAACAUACUUAUAUGGCAUCAUAUAGGUAUCAAAGGAGCAAUCCGGUGCAGGAUGGGCCCGCGUCCGAUUAGCUGGAAGGUAGGGUAACGGCCUACCAAGGCGACGAACGGUAGCCGAACUGAGAGGUUGGUCGGACACAUUGGGACUGAGAAAAGGCACCUAGAAUAACUAAGGGUGGAAGAAGUGGGGUAUAUGAGAAUGGGGGGAAAAUAGAGAUGAGAGAAGAGUGGAGGGAGAUGGAAUAAGGAUUGUUUAA